rnacentral:rRNA from 1 species
AGUAACGGCGAGUGAAGCGGCAACAGCUCAAAUUUGAAAUCUGGUCCCUCGGGGCCCGAGUUGUAAUUUGCAGAGGAUGCUUUUGGCGCGGUGCCUUCCGAGUGCCCUGGAACGGGACGCCACAGAGGGUGAGAGCCCCGUAUGGUCGGACACCAAGCCUAUGUAAAGCUCCUUCGACGAGUCGAGUAGUUUGGGAAUGCUGCUCAAAAUGGGAGGUAAACCCCUUCUAAAGCUAAAUACUGGCCAGAGACCGAUAGCGCACAAGUAGAGUGAUCGAAAGAUGAAAAGCACUUUGAAAAGAGAGUUAAAAAGCACGUGAAAUUGUUGAAAGGGAAGCGUUUGCGACCAGACUUGCGCCCGUCGGAUCAGCCGUCCCUCGUGGGCGGUGCACUCCGGCGGGCUCAGGCCAGCAUCAGUUCGCUGCAGGGGGAGAAAGGCGGCGGGAAUGUGGCUCUUCGGAGUGUUAUAGCCCGCCGCGUAAUACCCCUCGGCGGACUGAGGACCGCGCGUAAGCAAGGAUGCUGGCGUAAUGGUCGUCAGCGACCCGUCUUGAAACACGGAC